AGUGAACGCUGGCGGUAGGCCUAACACAUGCAAGUCGAACGGCAGCACAGUAAGAGCUUGCUCUUACGGGUGGCGAGUGGCGGACGGGUGAGGCAUACAUCGGAAUCUACUUUUUCGUGGGGGAUAACGUAGGGAAACUUACGCUAAUACCGCAUACGACCUACGGGUGAAAGCAGGGGAUCUUCGGACCUUGCGCGAUUGAAUGAGCCGAUGUCGGAUUAGCUAGUUGGCGAGGUAAAGGCCCACCAAGGCGACGAUCCGUAGCUGGUCUGAGAGGAUGAUCAGCCACACUGGAACUGAGACACGGUCCAGACUCCUACGGGAGGCAGCAGUGGGGAAUAUUGGACAAUGGGCGCAAGCCUGAUCCAGCCAUACCGCGUGAGUGAAGAAGGCCUUCGGGUUGUAAAGCCCUUUUGUUGGGAAAGAAAAGCAGCAGGUGAAUACCCCGCUGUUCUGACGGUACCCAAAGAAUAAGCACCGGCUAACUUCGUG
rnacentral:rRNA from 1 species